rnacentral:rRNA from 1 species
CCUACGGGCGGCUGCAGUGGGGAAUAUUGCACAAUGGGCGCAAGCCUGAUGCAGCCAUGCCGCGUGUGUGAGGAAGGCCUUCGGGUUGUAAAGCACUUUCAGCGGGGAGGAAGGCGGUGAGGUUAAUAACCUCAUCGAUUGACGUUACCCGCAGAAGAAGCACCGGCUAACUCCGUGCCAGCAGCCGCGGUAAUACGGAGGGUGCAAGCGUUAAUCGGAAUUACUGGGCGUAAAGCGCACGCAGGCGGUCUGUCAAGUCGGAUGUGAAAUCCCCGGGCUCAACCUGGGAACUGCAUUCGAAACUGGCAGGCUAGAGUCUUGUAGAGGGGGGUAGAAUUCCAGGUGUAGCGGUGAAAUGCGUAGAGAUCUGGAGGAAUACCGGUGGCGAAGGCGGCCCCCUGGACAAAGACUGACGCUCAGGUGCGAAAGCGUGGGGAGCAAACAGGAUUAGAUACCCGAGUAGUC